rnacentral:rRNA from 1 species
UACGUAGGGGGCGAGCGUUGUCCGGAUUUAUUGGGCGUAAAGAGCUCGUAGGCGGCUCAGUAAGUCAGGUGUGAAACCUCCAGGCUCAACCUGGAGACGCCACCUGAUACUGCUGUGGCUAGAGUCCGGUAGGGGAGCGUGGAAUUCCUGGUGUAGCGGUGAAAUGCGCAGAUAUCAGGAGGAACACCAGCGGCGGAAGGCGGCGCUCUGGGCCGGAACUGACGCUGAGGAGCGAAAGCGUGGGUAGCAAACAGG